AUGCUAAAUGGAAAGAAAAAUAAUGCAAAAGAAAAACCCUCCUAGAACCAAUCAAUAAAUUAAAGAUGCUUGGGGAUAUAAAAUCAGCAGUUAAAUGAGGUACUAAUGAAGAUGGGAAUUUAAUGGUUGGCUGCCUCGCUGUGAAGGGGGGAGGAGAUGCAGACUGAAGAAAUACUGAAGAAAACUCUGGCUAUGAGGACCUGCUGGGCUAGCUCCUAUUAAUGCCGGUGGGACUCAUGGAAAGAGCUCUGAAAGGAAAGACAAGAACAACUGUGGUUCAGAGAUGAGCAAUUUGCCCCAUAAUGUGAAGGUAGUUUUAUGAACUGUUUAUUCAAUAUACACUGAAAUUGAAACUCUACAGAAAUGAGUCAGUUUUACAGUCACAUGUUCCCAAACACCAUUGCUUUGUUUCUGGCACACCUUUGGGGAUGGUAGGGACACAGGACCACAGAGGACUUAGCCUAGACCAUCAAUAUCAGAAUAAAAUGAGAUCUUAUAAUCUCAGUCAUAGAACAUAACCCCUUUCUCAGAACCAUUUAAUUCCUGUAGUUUCCAAUGAAUUACAGUGCUUGGCAAUAGCUAUCUCAAAAUUAUUUCAGUUUUGACAAAAACAUACUCAAAAUAGACUCAAAAUACAGAAUAAGUGGUAGCAAGUGUUUGGGAUUUGUCUGAUGACAGGAAAGAGAAAUGUAAAUAAUGGGCUUUCUGUCUGUGAAAGCAAACACACUUAUGAACUCGUUGGUAAAUAAUGGCUAAUUGUCAGUGGUAUUGAGUGUUUAUGCAGGAUUUUAUGCCAGAUUUAGUGUAUGUCAAGAGUAUUAACAAACAGAAAAUGCAGAUUCCUUACAGAAUUCCUUACAGAAGGAGAAAUGUGCCAGACUAUUAUAAUACUUGGUGUUGCAGUAAUGCACAGUGGUGCUAGGCCCUCAUUAUGAAAAGCACUUUGAGCUUUUUGAAAAGGCAGCCUAUAAUCUUUGCCUUUGCUCACUUAGUGCCUGAAUAAGUGAAAACGUGUUGUUGUUUUUAUGUGGUUAUGAAUUUCUUGAGGAUUGCAUUUCAAACGCAGGAGGCUGAUAGAGGCUGGUACCGCGUGAUGGCUGCUCACUGGCUGUGGUGUCACAGACUGUGAAGGCAUCUGGCCUCGGCCCAGUUCCUGUUCUGUGCCAUGUGCUGAAAAGAGCUGUAUCUUCUGUGCCACCACCUAUUUCCAGAGUGCUACGUGGAUGCAGAGCUUUGUGAGGCUCUGACUGUCUCUCUGGUCCAAAGAACAUCCUAAUCCAGUGACAGAGCAAAAACGAGACUCGUGCAGGCUGUAUCCAUAUUUUCAAAUCCACUACUGAAUGGAGUUGUCACUGCAAUGUUAGAAGAGCUUGCCAGGGGCUUGCCAGGACGUAUGGUUUGAAUUAGCACAGUUGCUUGCAAAAAAACCUGCCUUUACAAUACACACUGGGGUUUUAUUGAAUUGCAAAAGCUUCUAAGUAUCUGCAGUCCACUGUGGCUGUUUAACUGUAUUAAGGCUGUUCCUUAGUUCUAAAUGCCUAAAUUCUGACCUCUCUCAGUGUCACAUUCUCUUAAGUCUUAGCUUUUACAUUUUUUCUGUUCUUAAAUUUUUGAAUUAGUUAAAAUCUUUGAAUUAGUUAAAAUCACUGCUAGUCUGAAUGCAUAAUUAUUCUGAUCUGUCUCUGAAAUCUGAAUUCUAUGCAAUCAGCAAAACAUUUUCCAGAAAUAAAUCUGUGGUUGUCUUCUGGCAGCAAUAUUGAAAAAUAACUGUUACAUGGUAUCCUGGUGCCAACGUCAUGCUGUACGUAGUUAAUGCAUGUAUGCAAUGUCUUUUGUUUUAAAACCACCCAUGUUAUCUAUAUGUACAUGGGAGAAUCUGCUGAGUGCAGGAGGUGCAAAUUCUUGCAACUGCUAUAGUUCUGAUGUGCUUUGGAGGAGUUGGUUAAAUAAAAUAGUGUGAAU
rnacentral:lncRNA from 7 species